UCGCAGUUCACUGAUGAGACACACGUGCAGAGAAGACGCUGUAAAGCAGCUAUGCCUCUGAAGACCAGAGGGACCAAGGACUGAAAAACUCUGACUUUAGUCCGCAUGCUGUGAUACCGGGAACGUCUUGCUCAGUGAACCCAUCGCCCCAGUCCUAGUCUGUGAUCUCAGCCUCACUGUCAGCGGAUCGAUGGAUUACACUGCCAAGCAUCAUCAGGAUCGCCUGGAACCAGCCUAUCGACAAACCGAAGCACCAUCCAAUAAGUGAGAAGCAAAUCAGCAUUCGCUGAUGCCUACAUUCCCUGAACAGUUGGAGGCAACAGUCCGAGGAAAAACUAAAGUUCCGCUGAAGUUUCUGAUCAUCAGAUUGUCCCCUGACAGAGUCCCAGAGGAUGCUGGGAGAGCAGAGGAGAGGUGUUCUCUCUGCUGAUAGGCUGGCCGCCCUCCCUUGUUUGUUUACUCAGUAACGAGCCAAUGACACGGCUCAUUGACACACACAGAGCAAUUAUGGGAAAACGAGUGUGAUGUGUGUGAUGUGAAGCAGCUGGUAGAGCAGAAAAGCUCUCCUGUACUCCUCCUGCUCCAUCUGGACCACAUCCAGAGGUCGACACCUUAAAAGCUGCACGACUUCCUCAAAGGAGGAGCAAGAGACUCGCUGCAGUACUGCCAACAGGCCAGCAGCUCAUUAGGAAAGUAUUCAGACCCCCUUCACUUUUUUCUACUUUCUUAUGUUGCAGCCUGAUGCUACAAUCAUUUAAAUUCAUG